AGUGAGUUGAGAUAGGGUGGGAGGAGCAGCUUCCGGGACCCUGCCCCACGGCAGGCUACCCUCUGCCCUGUGUAUCCCAAGUACUUUUUCUGCAUGCCCAGUGUUGCAGAAGCCUUGCCUUGCCAUGGACACCGUGGAAACGAACAGGCUUGCUGAGUGACCGGCAUUUGCACAGCGUUCACAAAUAACACUAAACACCUUGAUUUCCUCAAGACCUUCUGGAGCUUUCUUAGACUGGGUGGGCACCUUAGACAACACCUCUCUGUUGUGGGAUGCACGAUCUCCCCAGGCUCAGGCUGCCCCAGGCGGGGGGGCCACGUGGCUCCUAUCCUCACCCUCACUGCCCAGGCCUCUAGCCUGCCCCCUUCCCCUUCCUACACUCCCCACAGCCAGAUCUCAUCAAGCAACUGCUUCUCCAAGUGCUUGUGACUAAACCCCAAAGAGGCCUGGAAAGAGGAUGUUGGAAACAAGCAUGGGUGCACUUUGCGGGAGGCGAGGCCUGGGAAGCCGGCACACUUCUAUGUGAGCAGAGGCUAUUGGCUAAUCGGCCACUUAACUCUUGACCCGAGCCCCGGGGAAAGUGCAUUCUCCUCUCUUUCAUUUUGUUUAUAGCUUCAUGCAAACUUCCAAUUUCUGUGAACAUUCUGACGAGGAGGGCUCUCGUUUCUCCAGAUCCUGAAAGCAGAGAAUUCUGUCCCCUCUGUGGGACCAGCAGCCUCGUGCGGACCUAUGACUCUGCCCGCAUCGCAGGCAGCACCACAGAAGUGUGUUUGACAGAGAGAACUGUUUUGAAUCAACCCUCUGAGAUGUCGAAAUCAGCCUGUCAGACUUUGCUCACUCUAUCACAUUUCCCAAGAAGAGGAUCAGAGAUAAAGAGAAAUAUGGAAAUUUGGAGUAAAAGGUGAGGAUAGAGAACAAGAAAAAAAAAGUGCCUUCAGAGACUGCAAAAAGGAAUUCAAUAAAAUAUAGGACAAUCUGGUUACUAACUUGAAGUCAGAAAUGUGAAGAAAAUAGUGUAUCAAAACGUUACAGAAAAAUCCAACCACUGUAUCCAAGUGAAUGACACCUUAGAGACAUAAUGAAGAAUUGUACAGGGAAGAAACUUUGUGAGUUACCAAAUAAUUAAAACUUCUUAAAG
ensembl:lncRNA